rnacentral:rRNA from 1 species
UACGAAGGGGGCUAGCGUUGCUCGGAAUUACUGGGCGUAAAGGGCGCGUAGGCGGAUGGCACAGUCAGAUGUGAAAUUCCCGGGCUUAACCUGGGGGCUGCAUUUGAUACGUGUUGUCUUGAGUUCGGAAGAGGGUAGUGGAAUUCCCAGUGUAGAGGUGAAAUUCGUAGAUAUUGGGAAGAACACCGGUGGCGAAGGCGGCGACCUGGUCCGAAACUGACGCUGAGGCGCGAAAGCGUGGGGAGCAAACAGG